GGAUGUGAACACAGUCUGGCAGCGACAUCUGUUACCCCACAGACGGCCGGCAUUCAUUCAGCUGAUCUGCCUGACUAGUGAAGAGCCUCCUCCCCUCACUGAAACAUGUGCAUUUCUCCUAAAGCAAUUUGUUAAAGAGGACAACUUUCCCAGAAUAGAGAAGGGAUGACCUUUGGUCUAAAACCCACAAACAAGCUCUUAAAAGACUGAUAGAUUUG
ensembl:misc_RNA Gm25980 predicted gene, 25980